rnacentral:other from 1 species
AAUUGCCCAGAAGGACCAAUUUAUUUCCAACAUUUCGAUAUAGGGAACCCGGAAGUUGCAAACUGGUGUGAAUGCCUGAUUUUAUUAGGAAUCCUAAUGUGAGCACAGGGUACCCACCUGCACAAACAGGGAAUAUAUAUCGCCUACUGGGCCAUCA